GAUUGAAUCGUCUCUUGCCUGAUUCAUGUAGUAGACUGUUUGGAAGAUGCAAAAGAAUGCUUUAUUUACUGGUCUGUUAAAUCAAUAAAGAGUUUAAACAAAGAUUCUCCUCAAAGUGUAGAACCAUCUCACCAUUCUAUGGCUCGCUGAUAAACAAUUUUCUCAGAAUACAACCAAGCAUGUUACUUU